rnacentral:rRNA from 1 species
CAGGCUUAACACAUGCAAGUCGAGGGGCAUCAGGAAGAAAGCUUGCUUUCUUUGCUGGCGACCGGCGCACGGGUGAGUAACACGUAUCCAACCUGCCCUUUACUCGGGGAUAGCCUUUCGAAAGAAAGAUUAAUACCCGAUAGCAUAAUGAUUCCGCAUGGUUUCAUUAUUAAAGGAUUCCGGUAAAGGAUGGGGAUGCGUUCCAUUAGGUUGUUGGUGAGGUAACGGCCCACCAAGCCUUCGAUGGAUAGGGGUUCUGAGAGGAAGGUCCCCCACAUUGGAACUGAGACACGGUCCAAACUCCUACGGGAGGCAGCAGUGAGGAAUAUUGGUCAAUGGGCGCUAGCCUGAACCAGCCAAGUAGCGUGAAGGAUGAAGGCUCUAUGGGUCGUAAACUUCUUUUAUAUAAGAAUAAAGUGCAGUAUGUAUACUGUUUUGUAUGUAUUAUAUGAAUAAGGAUCGGCUAACUCCGUGCCAGCAGCCGCGGUAAUACGGAGGAUCCGAGCGUUAUCCGGAUUUAUUGGGUUUAAAGGGAGCGUAGGUGGACUGGUAAGUCAGUUGUGAAAGUUUGCGGCUCAACCGUAAAAUUGCAGUUGAUACUGUCAGUCUUGAGUACAGUAGAGGUGGGCGGAAUUCGUGGUGUAGCGGUGAAAUGCUUAGAUAUCACGAAGAACUCCGAUUGCGAAGGCAGCUCACUGGACUGCAACUGACACUGAUGCUCGAAAGUGUGGGUAUCAAACAGGAUUAGAUACCCUGGUAGUCCACACAGUAAACGAUGAAUACUCGCUGUUUGCGAUAUACAGUAAGCGGCCAAGCGAAAGCAUUAAGUAUUCCACCUGGGGAGUACGCCGGCAACGGUGAAACUCAAAGGAAUUGACGGGGGCCCGCACAAGCGGAGGAACAUGUGGUUUAAUUCGAUGAUACGCGAGGAACCUUACCCGGGCUUAAAUUGCAGUGGAAUGAUGUGGAAACAUGUCAGUGAGCAAUCACCGCUGUGAAGGUGCUGCAUGGUUGUCGUCAGCUCGUGCCGUGAGGUGUCGGCUUAAGUGCCAUAACGAGCGCAACCCUUAUCUUUAGUUACUAACAGGUUAUGCUGAGGACUCUGGAGAGACUGCCGUCGUAAGAUGUGAGGAAGGUGGGGAUGACGUCAAAUCAGCACGGCCCUUACGUCCGGGGCUACACACGUGUUACAAUGGGGGGUACAGAAGGCAGCUAGCGGGUGACCGUAUGCUAAUCCCAAAAGUCUCUCUCAGUUCGGAUCGAAGUCUGCAACCCGACUUCGUGAAGCUGGAUUCGCUAGUAAUCGCGCAUCAGCCACGGCGCGGUGAAUACGUUCCCGGGCCUUGUACACACCGCCCGUCAAGCCAUGGGAGCCGGGGGUACCUGAAGUACGUAACCGCAAGGAUCGUCCUAGGGUAAAACUGGUGACUGGGGCUAAGUC